rnacentral:rRNA from 1 species
UACGUAGGGGGCAAGCGUUGUCCGGAAUCAUUGGGCGUAAAGAGCGUGUAGGCGGCCCGGUAAGUCGGCUGUGAAAGCCCAGGGCUCAACCCUGGGAUGCCGGUGGAUACUGUCGGGCUCGAGUCCGGAAGAGGAGUGUGGAAUUCCUGGUGUAGCGGUGAAAUGCGCAGAUAUCAGGAGGAACACCAAUGGCGAAGGCAGCACUCUGGGACGUGACUGACGCUGAGACGCGAAAGCGUGGGGAGCAAACAGG